rnacentral:rRNA from 1 species
ACGAACGCUGGCGGCAUGCCUAACACAUGCAAGUCGAACGAACCCUUCGGGGUUAGUGGCGCACGGGUGCGUAACGCGUGGGAAUCUGCCCUUUGCUUCGGAAUAACUCAGGGAAACUUGUGCUAAUACCGGAUGAUGUCUUCGGACCAAAGAUUUAUCGGCAAGGGAUGAGCCCGCGUAGGAUUAGGUAGUUGGUGGGGUAAAGGCCUACCAAGCCGACGAUCCUUAGCUGGUCUGCGAGGAUGAUCAGCCACACUGGGACUGAGACACGGCCCAGACUCCUACGGGAGGCAGCAGUGGGGGAUAUUGGAAAAUCGGGGCAAGCCUGAACCAGCAAUGCCGCGUGAGUGAUGAAGGCCGUCGGGUCGUAAAGCUCUUUUACCAGGGAUGAUAAUGACAGUACCUGGAGAAUAAGCUCCGGCUAACUCCGUG